rnacentral:rRNA from 1 species
UACGUAGGGGGCUAGCGUUGUCCGGAAUCAUUGGGCGUAAAGCGCGUGUAGGCGGUCCGGUAAGUCCGCUGUGAAAGUCGGGGGCUCAACCCUCGAAUGCCGGUGGAUACUGUCGGGCUAGAGUACGGCAGAGGCGAGUGGAAUUCCAGGUGUAGCGGUGAAAUGCGUAGAUAUCUGGAGGAACACCGGUGGCGAAGGCGGCAUCCUGGACCAAUUCUGACACUGAGGAGCGAAAGCCAGGGGAGCAAACGGG